GAUGAAGAACGUAGCGAAAUGCGAUACGUAAUGUGAAUUGCAAAUUCAGUGAAUCAUCGAGUCUUUGAACGCACAUUGCGCCCCCUGGUAUUCCGGGGGGCAUGCCUGUCCGAGCGUCAUUGCUACCCCUCAAGCGCGGCUUGUGUGUUGGGCGCUGUCCCCCCCUUUUUCGGGGGGACAGGCCUGAAAGGCAGUGGCGGCGUCGCGUCCGGUCCUCGAGCGUAUGGGGCUUUGUCACCCGCUCUGUGAGGAUCCGGCCGGGGCCUGUCUCACCCCCAAUCUUCUCUAAGGUUGACCUCGGAUCAGGUAGGGAUACCCGCUGAACUUAAGCAUAUCAAUAAGCGGAGGA
rnacentral:misc_RNA from 1 species